AUGUGUCAGAAAUUAAUGUGUUAAAUUUAAGAUUUAAAAAUGAAUUAGAAUUCCUUUAGU
rnacentral:tRNA from 1 species